CGUUGAAGCAUGAUCGUAAGGACAUGUGGAGCGCUUAGAAGUGAGAAUGCCGGUGUGAGUAGCGAAAGACGGGUGAGAAUCCCGUCCACCGAUUGACUAAGGUUUCCAGAGGAAGGCUCGUCCGCUCUGGGUUAGUCGGGUCCUAAGCUGAGGCCGACAGGCGUAGGCGAUGGAUAACAGGUUGAUAUUCCUGUACCACCUAUAAUCGUUUUAAUCGAUGGGGGGACGCAGUAGGAUAGGCGAAGCGUGCGAUUGGAUUGCACGUCUAAGCAGUAAGGCUGAGUAUUAGGCAAAUCCGGUACUCGUUAAGGCUGAGCUGUGAUGGGGAGAAGACAUUGUGUCUUCGAGUCGUUGAUUUCACACUGCCGAGAAAAGCCUCUAGAUAGAAAAUAGGUGCCCGUACCGCAAACCGACACAGGUAGUCAAGAUGAGAAUUCUAAGGUGAGCGAGCGAACUCUCGUUAAGGAACUCGGCAAAAUGACCCCGUAACUUCGGGAGAAGGGGUGCUCUUUAGGGUUAACGCCCAGAAGAGCCGCAGUGAAUAGGCCCAAGCGACUGUUUAUCAAAAACACAGGUCUCUGCUAAACCGUAAGGUGAUGUAUAGGGGCUGACGCCUGCCCGGUGCUGGAAG
rnacentral:rRNA from 1 species